GAAAUGCGAUAAGUAAUGUGAAUUGCAGAAUUCAGAGAAUCAUCGAAUCUUUGAACGCACAUUGCGCCCGCCAGUAUUCUGGCGGGCAUGCCUGUUCGAGCGUCAUUUCAACCAUCAAGCCCCCGGCUUGUGUUGGGGACCUGCGGCUGCCCGCAGGCCCUGAAAAACAGUGGCGGGCUCGCUGUCACACCGAGCGUAGUAGCAUACAUUCUCGCUCAGGGCGUGCUGCGGGUUCCGGCCGUUAAACGACCUUCAUAACCCAAGGUUGACCUCGGAUCAGGUAGGAAGACCCGCUGAACUUAAGC
rnacentral:misc_RNA from 1 species